rnacentral:rRNA from 1 species
UACGUAGGGGGCUAGCGUUGUCCGGAAUCAUUGGGCGUAAAGAGCGUGUAGGCGGUCCGGUAAGUCCGUUGUGAAAGUCAGGGGCUCAACCCUUGAAUGCCGGCGGAUACUGUCGGGCUAGAGUCCGGAAGAGGCAAGUGGAAUUCCCGGUGUAGCGGUGAAAUGCGCAGAUAUCGGGAGGAACACCUAUGGCGAAGGCAGCUUGCUGGGACGGUACUGACGCUGAGACGCGAAAGCGUGGGGAGCAAACGGG